GGUUAAGCGACUAAGCGUACACGGUGGAUGCCCUGGCAGUCAGAGGCGAUGAAGGACGUGCUAAUCUGCGAAAAGCGUCGGUAAGGUGAUAUGAACCGUUAUAACCGGCGAUGUCCGAAUGGGGAAACCCAGUGCAAUUCGUUGCACUAUCGUUAACUGAAUACAUAGGUUAACGAGGCGAACCGGGGGAACUGAAACAUCUAAGUACCCCGAGGAAAAGAAAUCAACCGAGAUUCCCCCAGUAGCGGCGAGCGAACGGGGAGCAGCCCAGAGUCUGAAUCAGCUUGUGUGUUAGUGGAACGGUCUGGAAAGUCCGACGGUACAGGGUGAUAGUCCCGUACACCAAAAUGCACAGGCUGUGAACUCGAAGAGUAGGGCGGGACACGUGGUAUCCUGUCUGAAUAUGGGGGGACCAUCCUCCAAGGCUAAAUACUCCUGACUGACCGAUAGUGAACCAGUACCGUGAGGGAAAGGCGAAAAGAACCCCGGCGAGGGGAGUGAAAAAGAACCUGAAACCGUGUACGUACAAGCAGUGGGAGCACCUUCGGGUGUGACUGCGUACCUUUUGUAUAAUGGGUCAGCGACUUAUAUUCUGUAGCAAGGUUAACCGUAUAGGGGAGCCGCAGGGAAACCGAGUCUUAACUGGGCGUUAAGUUGCAGGGUAUAGACCCGAAACCCGGUGAUCUAGCCAUGGGCAGGUUGAAGGUUGGGUAACACUAACUGGAGGACCGAACCGACUAAUGUUGAAAAAUUAGCGGAUGACUUGUGGCUGGGGGUGAAAGGCCAAUCAAACCGGGAGAUAGCUGGUUCUCCCCGAAAGCUAUUUAGGUAGCGCCUCGUGAACUCAUCUUCGGGGGUAGAGCACUGUUUCGGCUAGGGGGUCAUCCCGACUUACCAACCCGAUGCAAACUACGAAUACCGAAGAAUGUUAUCACGGGAGACACACGGCGGGUGCUAACGUCCGUCGUGAAGAGGGAAACAACCCAGACCGCCAGCUAAGGUCCCAAAGUCAUGGUUAAGUGGGAAACGAUGUGGGAAGGCACAGACAGCCAGGAUGUUGGCUUAGAAGCAGCCAUCAUUUAAAGAAAGCGUAAUAGCUCACUGGUCGAGUCGGCCUGCGCGGAAGAUGUAACGGGGCUAAACCAUGCACCGAAGCUGCGGCAGCGACACUAUGUGUUGUUGGGUAGGGGAGCGUUCUGUAAGCCUGCGAAGGUGUGCUGUGAGGCAUGCUGGAGGUAUCAGAAGUGCGAAUGCUGACAUAAGUAACGAUAAAGCGGGUGAAAAGCCCGCUCGCCGGAAGACCAAGGGUUCCUGUCCAACGUUAAUCGGGGCAGGGUGAGUCGACCCCUAAGGCGAGGCCGAAAGGCGUAGUCGAUGGGAAACAGGUUAAUAUUCCUGUACUUGGUGUUACUGCGAAGGGGGGACGGAGAAGGCUAUGUUAGCCGGGCGACGGUUGUCCCGGUUUAAGCAUGUAGGCUGGUUAUCCAGGCAAAUCCGGAUAAUCAAGGCUGAGGUGUGAUGACGAGGCACUACGGUGCUGAAGUAACAAAUGCCCUGCUUCCAGGAAAAGCCUCUAAGCAUCAGGUAACAUCAAAUCGUACCCCAAACCGACACAGGUGGUCAGGUAGAGAAUACCAAGGCGCUUGAGAGAACUCGGGUGAAGGAACUAGGCAAAAUGGUGCCGUAACUUCGGGAGAAGGCACGCUGGUGUGUAGGUGAAGCCCCUGCGGGUGGAGCUGAGACCAGUCGAAGAUACCAGCUGGCUGCAACUGUUUAUUAAAAACACAGCACUGUGCAAACACGAAAGUGGACGUAUACGGUGUGACGCCUGCCCGGUGCCGGAAGGUUAAUUGAUGGGGUUAUCCGUAAGGAGAAGCUCUUGAUCGAAGCCCCGGUAAACGGCGGCCGUAACUAUAACGGUCCUAAGGUAGCGAAAUUCCUUGUCGGGUAAGUUCCGACCUGCACGAAUGGCGUAAUGAUGGCCAGGCUGUCUCCACCCGAGACUCAGUGAAAUUGAACUCGCUGUGAAGAUGCAGUGUACCCGCGGCAAGACGGAAAGACCCCGUGAACCUUUACUAUAGCUUGACACUGAACAUUGAGCCUUGAUGUGUAGGAUAGGUGGGAGGCUUUGAAGCGUGGACGCCAGUCUGCGUGGAGCCAACCUUGAAAUACCACCCUUUAAUGUUUGAUGUUCUAACGUUGGCCCCUUACCGGGGUUGCGGACAGUGUCUGGUGGGUAGUUUGACUGGGGCGGUCUCCUCCCAAAGCGUAACGGAGGAGCACGAAGGUUAGCUAAUCCUGGUCGGACAUCAGGAGGUUAGUGCAAUGGCAUAAGCUAGCUUGACUGCGAGCGUGACGGCGCGAGCAGGUGCGAAAGCAGGUCAUAGUGAUCCGGUGGUUCUGAAUGGAAGGGCCAUCGCUCAACGGAUAAAAGGUACUCCGGGGAUAACAGGCUGAUACCGCCCAAGAGUUCAUAUCGACGGCGGUGUUUGGCACCUCGAUGUCGGCUCAUCACAUCCUGGGGCUGAAGUAGGUCCCAAGGGUAUGGCUGUUCGCCAUUUAAAGUGGUACGCGAGCUGGGUUUAGAACGUCGUGAGACAGUUCGGUCCCUAUCUGCCGUGGGCGCUGGAGAAUUGAGGGGGGCUGCUCCUAGUACGAGAGGACCGGAGUGGACGCAUCACUGGUGUUCGGGUUGUCAUGCCAAUGGCACUGCCCGGUAGCUAAAUGCGGAAGAGAUAAGUGCUGAAAGCAUCUAAGCACGAAACUUGCCCCGAGAUGAGUUCUCCCUGAGACUUUAAGUCUCCUGAAGGAACGUU
rnacentral:rRNA from 1 species